UUCAACUUUCACAUAUUGGUCCCUAUAAAAGUCAUUAUAUUUUCAAAUAUGUCCCUGCAGUUAAUUAACCAUAGUUUAACUAAUUAAGGUUUCGUUUGGGAUUGCGGGGAGAUUGCGUUACGUGCGGUGAGAAACGACGAUGAGAAAAUACUCUGUUUGUUUCCGUACGUAUUGUUGCGUUCCGCAUAUCGCGAUGAGUCGGUUACGAUAUAUUUUUCGCGGUCCCACUGGAGAACACAGAAGCAUCUCCCUAUAUGCUUUUUCCUCAACUCCAUUUAUCUAAUAGCAUUAGAUAGAUUUCAAUACCAAAUUAAGCCUAAUUCUGGUUAAUUUUUAACAUUUCUACCCCUCUUAUAUUGUACUGUUAUAGUAUUCGGAGGGAUAUAUUUGUGAUCCCAAAAGGUCAUUUCACUUAUAAAAUAGACGAUGCUUUAAUGCAAACAAACCAGCGGGACAUAUUUGAAAAUAUCAGGACUUUUGCAGGAACAAUGUAUGAAAGUUGAACUUUAUGGGGAUAGUUUUGUUAUUUACUAUGUUUGUAGGGACCUAUGUGAAAUUAAUCCUAAUUUU
rnacentral:lncRNA from 1 species